rnacentral:rRNA from 1 species
UCCCCUAGUAACUGCGAGUGAAGCGGGAAAAGCUCAAAUUUAAAAUCUGGUGGCCUUUGGCCAUCCGAGUUGUAAUUUAGAGAAGCGUCUUCCGCGCUGGACCGUGCACAAGUCUCCUGGAAUGGAGCGUCGUAGAGGGUGAGAAUCCCGUCUUUGGCACGGACGCCCAGUGCUUCUGUGAUGCGCUCUCGAAGAGUCGAGUUGUUUGGGAAUGCAGCUCAAAAUGGGUGGUGAACUCCAUCUAAAGCUAAAUAUUGGCGAGAGACCGAUAGCGAACAAGUACCGUGAGGGAAAGAUGAAAAGCACUUUGGAAAGAGAGUGAAACAGUACGUGAAAUUGUUGAAAGGGAAACGCUUGAAGUCAGUCGCGUCGUCCGAGACUCAGCCUCGCCUCGGCUUGGUGUACUUCUCGGCCGACGGGUCAGCAUCAAUUUUGCCCCUUGGAUAAUGGCGAGGGAAAUGUGACACCUUUGCGGGUGUGUUAUAGUCUCUAGUCGCAUGCAAGGGUCGGGAUUGAGGAACUCAGCACGCGCCUUCGGGCGUCGGGGUUCGCCCACGAUACGUGCUUAGGAUGUUGGCGUAAUGGCUUUAAACGACCCGUCUUGAAACACGGACCAAGGAGUCUAACAUGCCCGCGAGUGUUCGGGUGGAAAACCCGUGCGCGCAAUGAAAGUGAAAGUUGGGACCUCUGUCGUGGAGGGCACCAACGCCCGGACCAGA